UGAAAUGUACAAAGUUGGAGUGCCAGACAACGUUGAAGCCUAUGUCUUGUUUGCAGGAGCAGAACUCAUAUGGUUUUUGCUCGAUAGAACAAGACUGGGGUUUGCCUUAGCCUGUGUUGUAGGUCUUGCCUGCCCAUUUGCUGAGAUCCCUGCAAUGGAGUAAGAAAUCUCUUUAUUACUCCGAACUUCUGCAUUUUAUUCAACUAAUAUGCUAUGUGCCUACCGAAUAUUUUUUGGAACAUUGACAAGGCAACAAUUUUCAGAUGGUUUAAUUUGUGGUAUUAUCCUCAAGCAAACAUCCAGAUCUUUGGACAGGUAAAGGGGCAUAUCAGCAGCAAGCAAAACCUUACAUUAUUUGACAUUCC
rnacentral:lncRNA from 1 species